rnacentral:rRNA from 1 species
CUGUGCAAAGGUAGCAUAAUCAUUAGCUUUUUAAUUGAAGGCUUGUAUGAAGGGUCUGACAAAGAAAAAGCUGUCUUUAAUUUUAUUUUUGAAAUUAACUUUUAAGUGAAAAGGCUUAAAUGAAUUUAAGGGACGAUAAGACCCUAUAAAUCUUUAUAUUAAAUUUUUAUCUUAAAGAUUAAUAAUUUGUCUAGAUUAUUAAGUAGAUAAUAAAUAUUUUGUUGGGGUGACAAGAAUAUAUAAUUAACUGUUCUUAUAUAAAACAAAGUUGUUUGUUUAAAUAAAAUAAAGAUCCUUUAUUAAAGAUUAAAAGUUUAAGUUACUUUAGGGAUAACAGCGUUAUUUUUUUUGAGAGUUCUUAUCGAAAAAAAAGUUUGCGACCUCGAUGUUGAAUUAAAAUUUCUCUACGGUGUAGAAGUUGUGGGAGAAAGUCUGUUCGACUUUUGAAAUUUU